UUUUAAAUGCUCAUUUUUGAAGUCCCUUCAAGUAGUCUGGGCCCCUGAGAAGCUGGUGGGGAUGCAGGGACGCUGCUUUUCUGCAUAGCUCAGGCCUCCAGGUGGAAAUGCCCCCUUACUGUUGACCUGACCCCUCCCUUUGGCCCCCUCCCUCUGCCACCCACAUCCCAUUAGCCAGAUGGGCUCCACGUGGCCCUGGAGGUGCUGCCCGUGGCCUGACUCAGGGCCAGGAAACAGGUGUGGCUGCCCACGGCCUGCGGCUGAGUCAUCAGCUUCCAGCUCCCCAGCCCUAGGCUGAGCGGCAGGGAAGAUUAGCCCUGAGCUAACUACUGCCAAUCCUCCUCUCUUUGCUGAGGAAGACCGGCCCUGAGCUAACAUCUGUGCCCAUCUUCCUCUACUUUAUACGUGGGACGCCUGCCACAGAAUGGCUUGCCAAGCGGUGCCAUGGCCGUACCCGGAAACUGAACCAGCGAACCCCAGGCCGCUGAGUGGAACAUGUGCACUUAACCACUGCGCCACCAGGCUGGCCCCUAAGGACCCCAUUUUGCAGCCUCUGGCCAGCAAGGUGCUCAAAGAUGUGGGAGGAGGGGGCUCCCCAAGGCCGUCUAAAGGGAGGAGGGAGUCGCCUCUCAAAGGUCCCCAAACCUCCAGGCCCUCCCCUCUCUCAGCCUGCGCCCUUGGUCAAAACACCGACUGUUUCUAUGGACACAGUGAGCCACUCUCCCCACGGAUCACGAAUCCUCUACAAAGCCUUAUUGAAGAACCAACUAGAUGCACGCAAAACCCUUGCACAGAAUUGUAUCAACACACUCUGUGGCCAGAUCCUCAUCAAGCUACUAAGGGAGCAACUUGGGAUUUUUUGUGAUGACUGUGUUACCAGAGUGGUGUGGGGCAGGGGCAGGGUUAGCAGCCAGAGACCACGGAAGGGAGGCUCAAGGACACAGACACUUGCGGCGUCAAAUAAAAGCCAAUUUUAGACCCUCGAGCCAUUUCCCCAUUUUUUCAACAGUAAUGAGAUCGUCGCGGGAUCGGUAGGCAGCGUCCAUUUGUCAUCUUCUCUUCCGAACCUCUCCUCUUUGUGAGCCCUUCCUGCCAACAUCAGCUCCUUACCGGCAUUGGAGGUGAUGUAUCCAUCACUCAUUUGUAUUCGGUAAUUCACUCAUCAAACAUCUAUUGACUAUUUUGGGCGACACGCUACAGUAGUGAGCUCUUCUAACUACAUAUAAUAGAGAACUCCCGAAGAACAUCGGAUUAAAUAAGAGAGCAGUUCAUUUUCCUCUACUGUGAAACAAGCCUAGAGGUCAGCAGCCCAGAGACCCAGCUCCUUCGGUCUUGCCGUCAUCCAAAGUCGUCACGUUGGGGUCCAAAAUGGCUGCUCAAGCCCUCACGUCCACAUUCCAGGCAGCAGGAAGGAGGAAAGGAAAAGGACCAAAAAGGGGGCCUGCUCAUGGGACCCCCUUCACCUGGAAUGUGUGGGCUCCACCUGGCCCGCCCUGCUCCGUCAGACUCCCUGAAUCCGUACCUGUUUCUUGCGAUGAUGCAGGGGUUAUGUGUGUAACUGUUUUGUGUGUCUGGGUCUCCCUGGACUGUAAUCCCCGUGAGAGCAGGGACACCUGCCAUGGCCCCGGCACCAGGGGAAGCGGCAC
rnacentral:lncRNA from 1 species